UUUUCGUGUCUUUCUGUUUUGCCCUAACUUUAUGCAAAUUUCAUUCUCCAUCUUUUCAGAAAUGUCACACAUUGCUUUAACUGCAUCACCCACCGUAGUCGCUUUUCACCGUGGAGCGAAACAAUGGAGCACGCUGUUUCCGAGUAGCUGGAGAAGCAGGGGAAUCAAUCCAUCCUCAUUUCCAAAUUCCACCAGAAAACGGUUACCGUUGCGGUUUUUUGCUUCUGGAAAAAAUGGCGUCAAUGGAGGUGUUGUGGAUGAGAUAUCUGAAACAGUAAAGGCGCACACGGAUUUCGUUUGGCCUGAUAACAAGAAGCCUAGAGUGUGUAUUUUAGGUGGUGGAUUCGGUGGUUUAUAUACUGCUUUAAGGUUGGAAUCACUCCAGUGGCCCGAAGACAAAAAGCCACAUGAAUAACUUAGGAGCAUCUUUCUUGAUGAGAUUAUGUCUCGGUACAGAACAUUCAUCAAUGGAGCAAAAGAGAAAAAAAAAAGAAUCAUAUAACAACGUGGAAAUGCCUUACUCCUAUAUUAGUUUCCUUAACAAGUUCCCUAAUGACACUCUUUAGAAUAUUCCUUAUAUUUAUAUUUAGUGGAGCAUUAUGUUAGAUUGUAAGAGAUGAGAGGAACUGAGUUUAAAUUUAAUCCCAAUUAUAUGUUAUGAUUGCAUGGUGAGGAAUGGAUUAGGAGUAUGUUUGGAUUGACUUAUUUAAAUUUAUCUCCUGACAUAAGCACUUGUGAGUAUGUUUGAAAGAACUUAUGGAAACAGCUUAUGACAUGGCUAUAAAAUGUUUUCAACUUAUAUCUAUAAGCUCUCCAUGAUAGGUUAUGAAAACAACUUAUAGCUUAUAAGAGUAUAGUAUAACUUUAUUUUAUCUUUUAUUAUGGAAAUAGUUUAUACUAAAACCACUAUAUGAUAAACACUUAUGCUAUAAGCGCUAUAUUGAACUGUUUAUCCAAGCUGAGCUUAACUCUCAUGAAUCAUGGUAAGCUGCAAUAUAUUUUGUUCUUAUUUUGCAAGUUGAUUGUACCACUCAUUAUAAAUCUUGCUUAUAUCCUUGCACUGUGGCUUAGUUGUUGAUUUUUCUGCACUUUUUCUGAAAAGCAAUGUGUGACAUUUCUGAAAAGAUGGAGAAUGAAAUUUGCAUAAAGUUAGGGUUGGAUUUAUCGAAGUCAAGAACUUAGAGCAAUGUCUCAUAUUUUGGCAAUCCUAUUACAUGUUGGUUUGAAUGAACAGUUAAACUUCAAAAUGUACAUUCAUAUUUUGGCAUAACUUUGUCUGCUACAGUCAUAUUUUGGUUCUUACUUGUGAAUUGAAUUUCUUGAAUGAUCGAUUACUUGGUUCUUGAAUUGUUCAUGUGCAUCAUAUAAGUUUCUUGAAUUGUUUUAUACGUUAUGACUUAUCCUUGAUGUUGUUUUAUAUGUACAGCGCUCAUUCCCUGUGUUUCCGUGAGUUUGACCUUCUCGACGUUGCUGUUCGGUAAAUCCGAGAAACGCGUUAUACCGUUUUGUACCCUAAUUACUUUGCGUUAAAACCAUGGAUAAGACAUGGAUGUAUUCCAAUCGAUUGUCGAAAGAGUACGAGAAUGGGGUAUCGAAAUUUGUUAAGUUUGCUAUUGCGCACGCCAAAGACCCCAAUCGAAUGACAUGUCCUUGCUUGAGUUGCUGUUAUGGGAGUCAGGUUGACGCGGUUCAGUUGGCAUCGCAUUUACUACGGUAUGGAAUUGAUAGAAGUUAUACAUGUUGGAAUUUGCAUGGUGAGAAAAGUAACGAGAAUGUUGAAUCGGGGUAUAAUACGACCUAUGCUUCAAACGACGAUUGCACAGAUACAUAUGAUUAUGAUCGAGUCGAAGAGAUUGCA